rnacentral:rRNA from 1 species
GACGAACGCUGGCGGCGUGCUUAACACAUGCAAGUCGAACGGAAAGGCCCUGCUUUUGUGGGGAGCUCGAGUGGCGAACGGGUGAGUAACACGUGAGUAACCUGCCCUUGACUUUGGGAUAACUUCAGGAAACUGGGGCUAAUACCGGAUAGGAGCUCCUGCUGCAUGGUGGGGGUUGGAAAGUUUCGGCGGUUGGGGAUGGACUCGCGGCUUAUCAGCUUGUUGGUGGGGUAGUGGCUUACCAAGGCUUUGACGGGUAGCCGGCCUGAGAGGGUGACCGGCCACAUUGGGACUGGGAUACGGCCCAGACUCCUACGGGAGGCAGCAGUGGGGAAUAUUGCACGAUGGGCGGAAGCCUGAUGCAGCAACGCCGCGUGCGGGAUGACGGCCUUCGGGUUGUAAACCGCUUUCGCCUGUGACGAAGCGUGAGUGACGGUAAUGGGUAAAGAAGCACCGGCUAACUACGUG